UGCAGCGGCGCGGUGGGGGCAGGGAGCCCGUCUGCGCAGGCGCGGGCUGCGGCGCCUUUCUAGCACUUUCUGGCGCGCAGCCGCCUGAGGCAGCGGGGGCCGGGCCGCAGUUGUUAUGGCGUGCGCGCUCCGCGGCGGGAAGCGGCUAGGCCGGGUACGGCCUGCGGCAGCGGCCAGUGGCGGGGUGGCCCGCCCUCUGCUUCGGGGAGCCCGCGGCCGCCAGAGGCCGGGGAGAGCCGUUUGGCGGCAGCUCCUUUGUGGGAAGGUGCUGUGCGGCGAGGGGAGCGCUCGUGUGAGGUGGUGUCCUCUCACGGGUCUCGAGGCUUGCCUGAAUCCCUCCUACCUUCUUCAGAUGGUUUGAGCAAAGAACACAUCAAAGAUGUAGACACGUCUCUCAUCAACUAAAUACCAGCAACCAGGUUACCUGAAGUAAUUUUCUGCCUACCUGCCACUGGGAAGAAAGUGCCUUCAGGGGUUCUCAUUGUGUACCCCGAAAGUACACAGCAUAACAGCCCUUGAGUAAACAGAGGCAAAAUCAGCAUCCCCCAUCCUCCUCACUGAAACACUCUGUGUUCACAAUAAACCCCCCGCUUUGAUCUCUUGCCAAGAAUAACACAGACAGUCUAUUAAAACAUCUUUAAUAACAUGAUAUAAUUAAAAAUAUCUAAUGUGCAA